rnacentral:rRNA from 1 species
GACGAACGCUGGCGGCGUGCUUAACACAUGCAAGUCGAACGGAAAGGCCCUGCUUUUGUGGGGUUCUCGAGUGGCGAACGGGUGAGUAACACGUGAGUAACCUGCCCUUGACUUUGGGAUAACUUCAGGAAACUGGGUCUAAUACCGGAUAUGAUCUCCUGCUGCAUUGUGUGGGUUGGAAAUUUUCGGCUGUUGGAGAUGGACUCGCGGCUUAUCAGCUUGUUGGUGGGGUAGUGGCUUACCAAGGCUUUGACGGGUAGCCGGCAUGAGAGGGUGACCGGCCAAAUUGGGACUGAGAUACGGCCCAGACUCCUACGGGAGGCAGCAGUGGGGAAUAUUGCACAAUGGGAGGAAGCCUGAUGCAGAAACGCCGCGUGCGGGAUGACGGCCUUCGGGUUGUAAAAAGCUUUAGCCUGUGACGAAGCGUGAGUGACGGUAAUGGGUAAAGAAGCACCGGCUAACUACGUG